UUGAUCAUGGCUCAGGACGAACGCUGGCGGCGCGCCUAACACAUGCAAGUCGAACGGAGUUAUUUUGGCAGAAGCCUUCGGGUGGACGCUGAUAUAACUUAGUGGCGAACGGGUGAGUAACACGUGAGCAACCUGCCCUUCAGAGGGGGACAACAGUUGGAAACGACUGCUAAUACCGCAUAAGACCACGGUGUGGCAUCACACAGAGGUCAAAGGAGAAAUCCGCUGAAGGAUGGGCUCGCGUCCAAUUAGCUAGAUGGUGAGGUAACGGCCCACCAUGGCGACGAUUGGUAGCCGGACUGAGAGGUUGAUCGACCACAUUGGGACUGAGACACGGCCCAGACUCCUACGGGAGGCAGCAGUGGGGAAUAUUGCACAAUGGAGGAAACUCUGAUGCAGCGACGCCGCGUGAGGGAAGAAGGUCUUCGGAUUGUAAACC
rnacentral:rRNA from 1 species